UACGUAGGGGGCUAGCGUUGUCCGGAAUCAUUGGGCGUAAAGCGCGCGUAGGCGGCCAGAUAAGUCCGGUGUGAAAGUCACAGGCUCAACCUGUGAAUGCCGCUGGAAACUGUCUGGCUUGAGUCCGGAAGGGGCGAGUGGAAUUCCUGGUGUAGCGGUGAAAUGCGCAGAUAUCAGGAGGAACACCGGUGGCGAAGGCGGGUCUCUGGGCAGUAACUGACGCUGAGGAGCGAAAGCGUGGGGAGCGAACAGG
rnacentral:rRNA from 1 species